rnacentral:rRNA from 1 species
CUACGGGUCGCAGCAGUGGGGAAUAUUGGGCAAUGGGCGCAAGCCUGACCCAGCAACGCCGCGUGAGGGAAGAAGGUUUUCGGAUUGUAAACCUCUGUCCUUGGGGACGAAGAAGUGACGGUACCCAAGGAGGAAGCUCCGGCUAACUACGUGCCAGCAGCCGCGGUAAUACGUAGGGAGCAAGCGUUGUCCGGAAUUACUGGGCGUAAAGGGUGCGUAGGCGGCAUAUUAAGUCAGGUGUGAAAUACUCGGGCUCAACCCGGGGGCUGCAUUUGAAACUGAUAUGCUUGAGUGUGCGAGAGGAAAGUGGAAUUCCUAGUGUAGCGGUGGAAUGCGUAGAUAUUAGGAGGAACACCAGUGGCGAAGGCGACUUUCUGGCUCAUAACUGACGCUGAGGCACGAAAGCGUGGGGAGCAAACAGGAUUAGAUACCCGAGUAGUC